rnacentral:rRNA from 1 species
CCUACGGGGGGCAGCAGUGGGGAAUAUUGGACAAUGGGGGGAACCCUGAUCCAGCCAUGCCGCGUGUGUGAAGAAGGCCCUCGGGUUGUAAAGCACUUUCAGUGAGGAAGAACGCCUGGUGGUUAAUACCCAUCAGGAAAGACAUCACUCACAGAAGAAGCACCGGCUAACUCCGUGCCAGCAGCCGCGGUAAUACGGAGGGUGCGAGCGUUAAUCGGAAUUACUGGGCGUAAAGCGCGCGUAGGUGGCUUGAUAAGCCGGUUGUGAAAGCCCCGGGCUCAACCUGGGAACGGCAUCCGGAACUGUCAAGCUAGAGUGCAGGAGAGGAAGGUAGAAUUCCUGGUGUAGCGGUGAAAUGCGUAGAGAUCGGGAGGAAUACCAGUGGCGAAGGCGGCUUUCUGGACUGACACUGACACUGAGGUGCGAAAGCGUGGGUAGCAAACAGGAUUAGAUACCCUAGUAGUC